rfam:Arabidopsis thaliana chromosome 1, complete sequence.
GGAUACCAUUAUACCAGUACUAAUGCACCGGAUCCCAUCAGAACUCCGCAGUUAACAUGCUUGGGCGUGAGUAGUACUAGGAUAAGUGACCUCCCAGAAAGUCCUCAUGUCGCAUCCU